UCAAAACUAAAAGAAAACUGAAACAACAUUGCAAUGGUGUGAUAACCAAAUAAUGACCGACAAGAAAGACCAGGGAAGGAGGAACCUAAAUAGGUACAGUGAUCUGGAAAAAAGGUGGAGGCAAUAACGACACACAGGCAGGUAUGCUGUGCCAGGACGUAACAAUUCACAAGUUUUAGAAAAUUUUGAACUGUGGUUGCAAUAUUUGGUGAAAUUAAAUUACAAUCCAAUAUUUUUUCCAAAUCGUUGAUUCUAACAAGGGGCCCAUAUGAAAAUGCAUGCACACAGUGUUGGAAGGCUCCAGAAACCAGCUUGGACCAGAUGGAGCCUCCCUCCUCACUAACUGUGGGACGCUUCCAAUGAGGCCCUCUGUCACUGGAUAACCCGGGACUCCAGUGGAGCCUGGGACUUGUGUGCACCUUGCAACUCACACAGCCACACCUCAACAGUCAGUCCUCCAUUACCGAUGGAGUGUUUUUUCCACUCUCCAACAUGUGCCAACAGGAAGGGGUUUCUGUGUACCUAAUCUAGAUGUUAUUCUCUACUAAUGAUUGGUGAGCUUUUUUGGUAAUUCAGAUGUCUUUCGGUGUUGAUUGUGUGUAAUAUUUAUUUAAAUAAAUACAUUUGUAUUUGAUCCACACAAAACCUAAAUCGUGACCAAUGAAAAAACACGCAUUCACAGAUAGGCAAGUAUAGCCAGCCAAAUGAAAAGACAAAAACAGUAUGUGUACAGUGUG